CCCUUAGAUGUUCUGGGCGGCCCGCGCACUACAAUGGCGCUUUCAGCGAGUUCCUAUGUUGAAUUUUCCUGGGUAUUCUUGGAAGCGGGGUCUUGACUUGGGAUAGAUCCUUGUAAUUGUUGGUUUUGAACGAGGAAUUCCUUGUAAUCGCGGUUGAUCAGCUCGCGUUGAAUACGUCCCUGCCCUUUGUACACACCGCCCGUCGCUCCUACCGAUGAAUCGUCCGGUGAAGUUCACAGAGUGGCGGUUCGUGGAGUUGCUCGCGAAGUGAAAUGGACCUCACGAUUUAGAGGAAGGAGAAGUCGUAACA
rnacentral:rRNA from 1 species